UGGGGAAUAUUGGACAAUGGGCGAAAGCCUGACCCAGCAACGCCGCGUGAAGGAUGAAGUAUUUCGGUAUGUAAACUUCGAAAGAAUAGGAAGAAUAAAUGACGGUACUAUUUAUAAGGUCCGGCUAACUACGUGCCAGCAGCCGCGGUAAUACGUAGGGACCAAGCGUUGUUCGGAUUUACUGGGCGUAAAGGGCGCGUAGGCGGCAAUUCAAGUCAUCUGUGAAAUCUCCGGGCUUAACUCGGAACGGUCAGAUGAUACUGCUUUGCUAGAGUGCAGAAGGGGCAAUCGGAAUUCUUGGUGUAGCGGUGAAAUGCGUAGAUAUCAAGAGGAACACCUGAGGUGAAGACGGGUUGCUGGGCUGACACUGACGCUGAGGCGCGAAAGCCAGGGGAGCAAACGGGAUUAGAUACCCGGGUAGUCCCUGAGCGGGCUGGCAAGGCGCAU
rnacentral:rRNA from 1 species